AUCUUUUUGUAAGUAAUUUUAGAACGCUUUAUAUAAAAAUAAGCGAAUUAGAAAGAUACGAUUAAUAUUAAAUCAUACAUAUUAUUAGAUAGUCAGGAAAAUAACUUUGUAUUAGAGGUGGCUUUAAUAGCCAAUUCAACUUAUAGUUAUAAUAGAAUGUAUCCCUUACCAUAUUUUUCAUGACCCUAAAAACCUAACCUUAAUAAUCAAUCCUAAAUAUCCCUAUAUCCUGGUGAAAGGUGUAACAUACUUACCGCUUAUACAGCCUUGCAAACAAGUCUCUGAGGAAAAUUAUCUCUGCACACAAGAAAACAGGGGCACCGUUUUCUGAAACGACAUGCAUUGAGGAGCUGAUGACCUUCAAGGAAAACCCAUCCAACUGUGACCAGAAUACAGUAAUUAUAGAAGAGAAAAUAUGUCAUCAGAACGUAUCCCAUCCAUUAAGCUGCUGGAGUUACAGUCAACAGUGAACUCUAAGGAAAAUCAGAAUCCAGUAAACUUACAGGGAAUGGAGCUCAGUGACCUGCAACACAUGUCUUACAUGCUGUAACAACUUAACAGAGAUAGUGAUAGUGAAAUGGGCAAUUCAGUGAAAGUGAAAAGCAUUAGUUUAGGCACUCUUUUAUUGUAUUUUGAUAAUUGUUGUGUUUUUUAUAAAAAUAAGAUUAUUAAUAUGUUGCAGUGGCGAAAUAAUCAGAAUUUGCAUGUGCAAUCCCCUGAUAAUUUCGCUCUUAAGGAGGGAGGAGUUAUAUAAUCCCGUGUGUCAUCACCAUAGGAUAGUUAUAUUUUAUAUAAACAAAAACCAUUGCAACAUAGUAGUACAAAGAUCCUUUAUAUUUCAAUAGCCGAAGUGCUGUUACAUGAUUUACGAACCACUCUUACAUGAUUUACGAACCACUUUUAGUUCUUACUAAGUAACGUUUCCUUGUAGAGCGUGAGAACAAUGUGUCAGCACAACGGUCACGUAGGCCUUUAAGAAUAGGAUAUAAAUAUAAUAGAAUACUUGUAAUAUUUAGUAUUAAACGGACCUCAAAUCGGA